rnacentral:rRNA from 1 species
ACUCCUACGGGAGGCAGCAGUAGGGAAUCUUCCACAAUGGGGCGCAAGCCUGAUGGAGCAACACCGCGUGAGUGAAGAAGGGUUUCGGCUCGUAAAGCUCUGUUGUUAAAGAAGAACACGUAUGAGAGUAACUGUUCAUACGUUGACGGUAUUUAACCAGAAAGUCACGGCUAACUACGUGCCAGCAGCCGCGGUAAUACGUAGGUGGCAAGCGUUAUCCGGAUUUAUUGGGACGUAAAGAGAGUGCAGGCGGUUUUCUAAGUCUGAUGUGAAAGCCUUCGGCUUAACCGGAGAAGUGCAUCGGAAACUGGAUAACUUGAGUGCAGAAGAGGGUAGUGGAACUCCAUGUGUAGCGGUGGAAUGCGUAGAUAUAUGGAAGAACACCAGUGGCGAACGGCGGCUACCUGGUCUGCAACUGACGCUGAGACUCGAAAGCAUGGGUAGCGAACAGGAUUAGAUACCCCUGGUAGGAUAGCG